AACACAUGCAAGUCGAGGGGCAUCAGUUUGGUUUGCUUGCAAACCAAAGCUGGCGACCGGCGCACGGGUGAGUAACACGUAUCCAACCUGCCUCAUACUCGGGGAUAGCCUUUCGAAAGAAAGAUUAAUAUCCGAUAGCAUAUAUUUCCCGCAUGGGUUUUAUAUUAAAGAAAUUCGGUAUGAGAUGGGGAUGCGUUCCAUUAGUUUGUUGGGGGGGUAACGGCCCACCAAGACUACGAUGGAUAGGGGUUCUGAGAGGAAGGUCCCCCACAUUGGAACUGAGACACGGUCCAAACUCCUACGGGAGGCAGCAGUGAGGAAUAUUGGUCAAUGGACGCGAGUCUGAACCAGCCAAGUAGCGUGAAGGAUGACUGCCCUAUGGGUUGUAAACUUCUUUUAUAUGGGAAUAAAGUUGUCCACGUGUGGAUUUUUGUAUGUACCAUAUGAAUAAGGAUCGGCUAACUCCGUGCCAGCAGCCGCGGUAAUACGGAGGAUCCGAGCGUUAUCCGGAUUUAUUGGGUUUAAAGGGAGCGUAGGCGGAUUGUUAAGUCAGUUGUGAAAGUUUGCGGUUCAACCGUAAAAUUGCAGUUGAUACUGGCAGUCUUGAGUGCAGUAGAGGUGGGCGGAAUUCGUGGUGUAGCGGUGAAAUGCUUAGAUAUCACGAAGAACUCCGAUUGCGAAGGCAGCUCACUGGAGUGUAACUGACGUUGAUGCUCGAAAGUGUGGGUAUCAAACAGGAUUAGAUACCCUGGUAGUCCACACAGUAAACGAUGAAUACUCGCUGUUUGCGAUAUACAGUAAGCGGCC
rnacentral:rRNA from 1 species